rnacentral:lncRNA from 1 species
AGCAUGUCAGGCUUCUAUAUAUAUCUAGGAAAAAUAAUGUAGGCAUGUGGUCAGGAAAACAGCUGUGUCAGUCAGGCUUCUCGUUUACAACCGAAACGAGAGUUAACCCAAACCUGCAGAGCUGUGUGAUGCAAGACAGUUUCAGCUGUGUGCUGCAGAAGCCACUGAGAUGGCCCCGUGAAAUCUCUGAGUAAACAGAAGUAUUGCUUCUGAGCAUCUUUCACAACUACAGCAACCGCUCAAAGGCUUCUUUCUGAGAAUGGACACCCGAUCAGAAGCCCAGGCUGGGCUGUGAAUGUAGAGAAGUGUGAGCACAGCAGAGAGAAAAAAGGCAGGAAAGAAAUGCGUUGGAAAUACCUGCAGUGCUGGCAUCCUCACAGCACAGAAAAAAAAAAAACAAAACAAAACAGAGUGUCAGAAAAGAGCAUUUCACCAAGAGGUGACCAAAAAGAAUAUUUUGGAAACCUACAGCACAAGUCCUGCACCUCACAGAGAAGAAUGAUUGCGUCCAUAAUCUGCCCCUGCAAGGAGACUGAACGAGAUGCUGCUGUGCCGGGCGAAGCUGCCUCUGCCCUGCCGAGCAGAUUGCAGCAAAGCACAGGGGGAAACCUCCCUCAGCUCGCAGAGAGGAACCGAAACGCUGUCACAGGUCAAGACCAGCCUUCCAGCCAGAAGUGGGAAGGACUUCAAGGUGGCAUGAACCUCCAUGUCAUAUCUUAACCAAGAGAGCAGUCAGCAUGAGGAAGGGGCAGAACAGGUAUGCGUUUCAGGACUCAGAGGCGUGCACCGCCUUUCAGAAAUGCCUAUGGAAAGGCUGAAUCCUUCAGGUUAAAAUGAAGAAGCAGAGGUAAGUAGCUCAGGUCCUAGAAUGAAAUAUUGAAAGCCACUCUUGAUAGUUUGCUCACUAAGCAUCCCUCACCUUUCCCUCCUCCGGUGGGAAUUUAAGGUAAUCGGAGGAAUGCCUGACACAAGUGUCGAGUAGAGGCAAGGAAUCAAAUAAACUUUUCUCUGUAUUGCUUGCA